UCUCCGUAUUAGGUACUUGUA
rnacentral:piRNA from 1 species